GCCCAAGACAUCUAGCUACGCCACACCCACAAGGGCCCUCAGCAGUGACCAACCUUAAAAAUAAACGUCAGUUUGAUUUAGUUAAUGAAAAUAGGGCCGGCCAAUAUGGUGCCAGCCGCCGCGGUUAUACCAAUGGCCCAAAUUGAUUUUAACCGGCGUAAAGCGUGAUUAAAGAAUAAUUCAUAUGGGACUAAACUUAAACUAAGUUGUAAAAUGCUUGUUCUUAAGAAACCCUCUCCCGAAAGACACCCCAGCCAAUCAACUUGAACUCACUACAUCUAGGGCACAAACUGGGAUUAGAUACCCCACUAUGCCUAGCCAUAAACUUUAACUUACACCACCACCCCCGCCAGGGUACUACAAGCAAAGCUUUAAACCCAAAGGACUUGACGGUGCCCCACACCCCUCUAGAGGAGCCUGUCCUAUAAUCGAUAACCCCCGUUUAACCUCACCAUUUUUAGUCCCCCAGCCUGUAUACUUCCGUCGCCAGCUCACCGCAGGAGCGAAAUAAAGUGAGCUCAACGCUUAACCAUCAAUACGUCAGGUCAAAGUGCAGCAAAUAAAAUGGCAAGAGAUAGGCUACAUUUUCUACUUUAGGAAAUACGAAAUACUAUAUGAAACCAUAGUUAGAAAGUGGAUUUAGCAGUAAGAAGAAAUCAGAGUGUUCCUCUUAACCCAGCACUGGGGCAUGUACACACCGCCCGUCACCCUCUU
rnacentral:rRNA from 1 species